CUCGCUGUGAAGAUGCAGUGUACCCGCGGCAAGACGGAAAGACCCCGUGAACCUUUACUAUAGCUUGACACUGAACAUUGAGCCUUGAUGUGUAGGAUAGGUGGGAGGCUUUGAAGUGUGGACGCCAGUCUGCAUGGAGCCGACCUUGAAAUACCACCCUUUAAUGUUUGAUGUUCUAACGUUAACCCGUAAUCCGGGUUGCGGACAGUGUCUGGUGGGUAGUUUGACUGGGGCGGUCUCCUCCUAAAGAGUAACGGAGGAGCACGAAGGUUGGCUAAUCCUGGUCGGACAUCAGGAGGUUAGUGCAAUGGCAUAAGCCAGCUUGACUGCGAGCGUGACGGCGCGAGCAGGUGCGAAAGCAGGUCAUAGUGAUCCGGUGGUUCUGAAUGGAAGGGCCAUCGCUCAACGGAUAAAAGGUACUCCGGGGAUAACAGGCUGAUACCGCCCAAGAGUUCAUAUCGACGGCGGUGUUUGGCACCUCGAUGUCGGCUCAUCACAUCCUGGGGCUGAAGUAGGUCCCAAGGGUAUGGCUGUUCGCCAUUUAAAGUGGUACGCGAGCUGGGUUUAGAACGUCGUGAGACAGUUCGGUCCCUAUCUGCCGUGGGCGCUGGAGAACUGAGGGGGGCUGCUCCUAGUACGAGAGGACCGGAGUGGACGCAUCACUGGUGUUCGGGUUGUCAUGCCAAUGGCACUGCCCGGUAGCUAAAUGCGGAAGAGAUAAGUGCUGAAAGCAUCUAAGCACGAAACUUGCCCCGAGAUGAGUUCUCCCUGACUCCUUGAGAGUCC
rnacentral:rRNA from 1 species